GACGAACGCUGGCGGCGUGCUUAACACAUGCAAGUCGAACGGAAAGGCCCUGCUUUUGUGGGGUGCUCGAGUGGCGAACGGGUGAGUAACACGUGAGUAACCUGCCCUUGACUUUGGGAUAACUUCAGGAAACUGGGGCUAAUACCGGAUAGGAUCUCCUGCUGCAAGGUGGGGGUUGGAAAUUUGCGGCGGUUGGGGAUGGACUCGCGGCUCAUCAGCUUGUUGGUGGGGUAGUGGCUUACCAAGGCUUUGACGGGGAGCCGGCCUGAGAGGGUGACCGCAGCCUCUGUCACUGCGAUCUGGCCCAGUCCCGCAUCGGUGGCAGGAGGGGGGAAUAUGCCACAAAGGGCAGCAGCGUGAGUCAGAAUCGCCGCGUGCGGGAUAAAGGCCUUCGUGUUGGAAACCGCUUUCGCCAGUGACGAAGCGUUAGUGACGUUAACGGGUAAAGAAGCACCGGCUAACUACGUG
rnacentral:rRNA from 1 species